rnacentral:rRNA from 1 species
CAGCCGUAAACUAUGCUCGCUAGGUGUCAGGCAUGGCGCGACCGUGUCUGGUGCCGCAGGGAAGCCGUGAAGCGAGCCACCUGGGAAGUACGGCCGCAAGGCUGAAACUUAAAGGAAUUGGCGGGGGAGCACAACAACGGGUGGAGCCUGCGGUUUAAUUGGAUUCAACACCGGACAACUCACCGGGGACGACAGCAAUAUGUAGGCCAGGCUGAAGACCUUGCCUGAAUCGCUGAGAGGUGGUGCAUGGCGUAGACGUGU